rnacentral:snRNA from 1 species
AUAUGAGAGGGUGAUCUGGCUGUAUUUGUCACUCCAUUCAUUGCUAGAGUUGAUAUGCUAAUAUAACGGGGGGAUUCUCUCUCUCCCUCGUGGCUCCAUGUGUAUCCCUCUAGAAGCUGUGCACUCAGUGGAGAAGAAAUGUCUUCACUAAAUGGAGGAUAACUAAUCUGUCUUAGGUCAAGAGUAUAUGNGGAACUGUGUUCCUUUGCUAGAACCUCCAAACAAGCUCUUGACUUUUUUGUUCCAUAACCAAGUAGGUCAAUUAUUUGGAGAUGGAUUUUAUUUUCACUUUUCUCUGUAAU